CUGUUCAAGGUUUUAGAGUAUUACAUCCUAUUUUUGUUUGAAGCCUUUUGUUUUAAGGUGUCUAAGAUGUAGUGGUUUUCUUUCUUUUCCAGGGGUUGUCGGCUUGAUUGCUUAGGCAAGCUACAUACACAACAAUACGACUUGGGUCAUUUAGCAUAUCUCCAACCUCGUCGGUAACAAAACCUUGGUGUUGGCAGUUCCAGCUUUCAAUGUCAUCAAUGGAGGUUCUCAUGCAGGAAACAAACUUGCAAUGCAGGUCUCUCUGUCAAUUCCAUCCAUUUUCUUGAAACGGCUUUCAUCUCAAUUGCAUUCUAAUCAAUUUGUUGUUUAUAGGAGUUCAUGAUCCUUCUCGUAGGAGCUUUCUCUUUUAUUCCACUAUCCUAUUUUCAUUUAUAAAUAAGUUGAAAUAUUUUUCGUUUGUCUUUAAGAGAGACACAAAAGCCAUAAAAACUUGCAUCUUUUUUCCUUACAGGUUAUUGGAAUGGAUGUUACUGCUUCUGAAUUUUAAGGCACUGAUAAAACCUAAGAUCUGAACUUCAAAAAAGAGAAAAAUGAUGGGUUGCAGAAGAUAUCAGGAAAUGCUUUAAAAGAUCUCUACAAAUCAUUUGUGGCUGAGUAUCCAAUUGUAUCAAUAGAAAACCCAUUUGAUC